AGCGAACGCUGGCGGCAGGCCUAACACAUGCAAGUCGAGCGGCCGUAGCAAUACGGCAGCGGCAGACGGGAGAGUAACACGUGGGAACGCGCCCUUCGGUUCGGAAUAACUCAGGGAAACUUGGGCUAAUACCGGAUACGCCCUUACGGGGAAAGAUUUAUUGCCGAAGGAACGGCCCGCGUCCGAUUAGCUAGUUGGUGAGGUAAUGGCUCACCAAGGCGACGAUCGGUAGCUGGUCUGAGAGGAUGACCAGCCUCACUGGGACUGAGACACGGCCCAGACUCCUACGGGAGGCAGCAGUGGGGAAUAUUGGACAAUGGGCGCAAGCCUGAUCCAGCCAUGCCGCGUGGGUGAUGAAGGCCCUAGGGUUGUAAAGCCCUUUCGGCGGAGAAGAUAAUGACGGUACCCGCAGAAGAAGCCCCGGCUAACUUCGUGCCAGCCGCCGCGGUAACAC
rnacentral:rRNA from 1 species